rnacentral:rRNA from 1 species
CCUACGGGUGGCAGCAGUGGGGAAUAUUGGGCAAUGGGCGCAAGCCUGACCCAGCAACGCCGCGUGAAGGAAGAAGGCUUUCGGCUCGUAAACUUCUUUCCUCAGGGACGAAGGAAGUGACGGUACCUGAGUAAUAAGCCACGGCUAACUACGUGCCAGCAGCCGCGGUAAUACGUAGGUGGCAAGCGUUAUCCGGAUUUAUUGGGUGUAAAGGGCGUGUAGGCGGGAGGGUAAGUCAGAUGUGAAAACUCAGGGCUUAACCCUGAGCCUGCAUUUGAAACUGUGUAUCUUGAGUGCUGGAGAGGAAAGCGGAAUUCCGUGUGUAGCGGUGAAAUGCGUAGAUAUAAGGAAGAACACCAGUGGCGAAGGCGGAUUGCUGGACAGAAACUGACGCUGAGGCGCGAAAGCGUGGGGAGCGAACAGGAUUAGAUACCCCAGUAGUC